AUACGGAGGGUGCAAGCGUUAUUCGGAAUCACUGGGCGUAAAGGACACGUAGGCGGGAAGCCAAGUCUGAUGUGAAAUCCUAUGGCUUAACCAUAGAACUGCAUUGGAAACUGGUUACCUCGAGUAUGGGAGGGGGAGAUGGAAUUAGUGGUGUAGGGGUAAAAUCCGUAGAUAUCACUAGGAAUACCGAAAGCGAAGGCGAUCUCCUGGAACAAUACUGACGCUAAGGCGUGAAAGCGUGGGGAGCAAACGGGAUUAGAUACCCCAGUAGUCC
rnacentral:rRNA from 1 species